UUGUUGGCGGGGUAACGGCCCACCAAGGCGACGAUGUCUAGGGGUUCUGAGAGGAAGGUCCCCACACUGGUACUGAGACACGGACCAGACUCCUACGGGAGGCAGCAG
rnacentral:rRNA from 1 species